AUUGAACGCUGGCGGCAUGCCUUACACAUGCAAGUCGAACGGCAGCACGGGUGAUUGCUCCUGGUGGCGAGUGGCGAACGGGUGAGUAAUACAUUGGAACAUGUCCUGUAGUGGGGGAUAGCCCGGCGAAAGCCGGAUUAAUACCGCAUACGAUCCACGGAUGAAAGCGGGGGACCUUCGGGCCUCGCGCUAUAGGGCUGGCUGAUGGCUGAUUAGCUAGUUGGUGGGGUAAAGGCCUACCAAGGCGACGAUCAGUAGCUGGUCUGAGAGGACGACCAGCCACACUGGGACUGAGACACGGCCCAGACUCCUACGGGAGGCAGCAGUGGGGAAUUUUGGACAAUGGGCGAAAGCCUGAUCCAGCAAUGCCGCGUGUGUGAAGAAGGCCUUCGGGUUGUAAAGCACUUUUGUCCGGAAAGAAAUCCUUGGCUCUAAUACGGUCGGGGGAUGACGGUACCGGAAGAAUAAGCACCGGCUAACUACGUG
rnacentral:rRNA from 1 species